UACGUAGGUGGCAAGCGUUGUCCGGAAUUUAUUGGGCGUAAAGCGCGCGCAGGCGGUCUUUUAAGUCUGAUGUGAAAGCCCCCGGCUCAACCGGGGAGGGUCAUUGGAAACUGGGAGACUUGAGUGCAGAAGAGAAGAGUGGAAUUCCACGUGUAGCGGUGAAAUGCGUAGAUAUCUGGAGGAAUACCGGUGGCGAAGGCGGCAUCCUGGACCGAGAUUGACGCUGAGGAGCGAAAGCUAGGGGAGCAAACGGG
rnacentral:rRNA from 1 species